rnacentral:lncRNA from 1 species
UUCUUAACUUAACUUAAUUAUCUUGAUUGUUAUCCUGCCCAUAAUUUCCCUCCUUGGGGUAACUAACUUGUCCUGAUUUCCUGAUUAUCAUAACGUGUAAUUAACAUUUUAAUUAAGCAUUACACUUAUAAUAUUCACAUAAAAGUAUCUAGGAAGGUAUAGGAUUGAAAAGUAUAAAAUAGUUCCAAAUUCUAAAUCUGCAAAGCUCUGAACUGGUAUUCUCACUUAGCAAGAGUCAGCUCGCUUAGCGAGAAACGGCCAAAAUGUUCCAACAUCCAAACGAGAGAACACUCUCUUAGCGAGCUUAUCAGUUCACAACUCUGUUUUGCGAUUUUCAUUAGUUUUGCAUAAAAUUAUUAAUACAAUCCUUUUCAUUCCUAACCAUGAGUAUCACAGCGUGUAAUAAAUGAUUAAAAUGGAGAGAAGCUUUGGGAUUAAGCUCAUCUCAUACACCACUUGACCCUAACUUAUGUCAUCAUGCAAUAAUUCAUAAUUGGGGACACUAACAUAAUAUAUCUAGUGUUAUCAUACAUAAUUUAUUUGGGCAACUAAAGUGAUAUGCUAUCUAAAGGUUGAGCUUCUAAGGGAACCCACCUGAAAAUAAGCUUGAAUAAUAGCAUCGACACUUCCAGAGCUCGCCGAAACGCAUAAUUUGCAACUGAAAUGCUAUAAACCCAUAAUCAGAAUUUUCUGCAUAAUACUGCAUCAGAGCACCAACUUCAAAAAUACCUACUGACCUCAUUUCACGUCCAAAAAUUAUGCAACCAGUGCCACAAUGACCGUAUUUGAAUUAGCUAUCCAUAGAAACAAACGGCAUCUCAAACGGUUUUACAGAGAGAGAACAGUCACCUUUUUAGUGCCUGUCUGUCCAGAAUACGGGUUUAACCCAAAUUCUUCCAAUUCUUCUAGUUCCCUUAAUUCUUAACUCAUUCACCAAAUCCAUUAAGUGUGAACAGAAUACAUGCAUAUCCAAAUAUGGAAACAUGAUUUGGGGUUAGGAAUUAGAAUUUCAA